UACGUAGGGUGCAAGCGUUAAUCGGAAUUACUGGGCGUAAAGCGUGCGCAGGCGGUUUUGUAAGUCUGUCGUGAAAUCCCCGGGCUCAACCUGGGAAUGGCGAUGGAGACUGCAAGGCUAGAGUUUGGCAGAGGGGGGUAGAAUUCCACGUGUAGCAGUGAAAUGCGUAGAUAUGUGGAGGAACACCGAUGGCGAAGGCAGCCCCCUGGGUCAAAAACUGACGCUCGAUGCACGAAAGCGUGGGGAGCAAACAGG
rnacentral:rRNA from 1 species